rnacentral:rRNA from 1 species
GACGAACGCUGGCGGCGUGCUUAACACAUGCAAGUCGAACGGAAAGGCCCUGCUUUCGUGCGCUGCUCGAGUGGCGAACGGGUGAGUAACACGUGAGUAACCUGCUCUUGAUUUUGGGAUAACUUCAGGUAACUGGGGCUAAUACCGUAUAGGAGCCCCCGUUGCAUGGUGGGGGUUGGAUAGUCUCGGCGGUAGGGGAUGGACUCGCGGCUUAUCAGCUUGUUGGUGGGGUAGUGGCUUACCAAGCCUUUGACGGGUCGCCGGCCUGUGAGGGUGACCGGCCACAUUGGGACUGAGGUACGGCGCAGACCCCUACGGGAGGCAGCAGUGGGGAAUCUUGCACAAUGGGCGGAAGCCUGAUGCAGCAACGCCGCGUGCGGGAUGACGGCCUUCGGGGUGUAAACCGCUUUCGCCUGUGACGAAGCGGGAGUGACGGUAAUGGGUAAAGAAGCACCGGCUAACUACGUG